ACGAACGCUGGCGGCGUGCCUAAUACAUGCAAGUCGAACGAAGCUUUCUUUCACCGAAUGCUUGCAUUCACCGAAAGAAGCUUAGUGGCGAACGGGUGAGUAACACGUAGGCAACCUGCCCAAAAGAGGGGGAUAACACUUGGAAACAGGUGCUAAUACCGCAUAACCAUGAACAUCGCAUGAUGUUCAUGUAAAAGACGGCUUUUGCUGUCACUUUUGGAUGGGCCUGCGGCGUAUUAACUUGUUGGUGGGGUAACGGCCUACCAAGGUGAUGAUACGUAGCCGAACUGAGAGGUUGAUCGGCCACAUUGGGACUGAGACACGGCCCAAACUCCUACGGGAGGCAGCAGUAGGGAAUCUUCCACAAUGGACGAAAGUCUGAUGGAGCAACGCCGCGUGAAUGAAGAAGGCCUUCGGGUCGUAAAAUUCUGUUGUCAGAGAAGAACGUGCGUGAGAGUAACUGUUCACGUAUUGACGGUAUCUGACCAGAAAGCCACGGCUAACUACGUGCCAGCAGCCGCGGUAAUACGUAGGUGGCGAGCGUUGUCCGGAUUUAUUGGGCGUAAAGGGAACGCAGGCGGUCUUUUAAGUCUGAUGUGAAAGCCUUCGGCUUAACCGAAGUAGUGCAUUGGAAACUGGAAGACUUGAGUGCAGAAGAGGAGAGUGGAACUCCAUGUGUAGCGGUGAAAUGCGUAGAUAUGUGGAAGAACACCAGUGGCGAAAGCGGCUCUCUGGUCUGUAACUGACGCUGAGGUUCGAAAGCGUGGGUAGCAAACAGGAUUAGAUACCCUGGUAGUCCACGCCGUAAACGAUGAGUGCUAAGUGUUGGAGGGUUUCCGUCCUUCAGUGCUGCAGCUAACGCAUUAAGCACUCCACCUGGGGAGUACGGUCGCAAGACUGAAACUCAAAGGAAUUGACGGGGGCCCGCACAUGCGGUGGAGCAUGUGGUUUAAUUCGAAGCAACGCGAAGAACCUUACCAGGUCUUGACAUCUUCUGACAAUUCCAGAGAUGGAACGUUCCCUUCGGGGACAGAAUGACAGGUGGUGCAUGGUUGUCGUCAGCUCGUGUCGUGAGAUGUUGGGUUAAGUCCCGCAACGAGCGCAACCCUUAUUGUCAGUUGCCAUCAUUAAGUUGGGCACUCUGGCGAGACUGCCGGUGAUAAACCGGAGGAAGGUGGGGAUGACGUCAAAUCAUCAUGCCCCUUAUGACCUGGGCUACACACGUGCUACAAUGGACGGUACAACGAGUCGCUAACUCGCGAGGGCAAGCUAAUCUCUUAAAGCCGUUCUCAGUUCGGAUUGCAGGCUGCAACUCGCCUGCAUGAAGUCGGAAUCGCUAGUAAUCGCGAAUCAGCAUGUCGCGGUGAAUACGUUCCCGGGCCUUGUACACACCGCCCGUCACACCAUGAGAGUUUGUAACACCCAAAGUCGGUGGGGUAACCUUUUGGAGCCAGCCGCCUAAGGUGGGACAGAUGAUUGGGGUG
rnacentral:rRNA from 1 species